GGCCGGACCUGCCCUUGGUCAGGAACCUCCGCCUACUCCAGCUUGGCUUCCCCCAGGUCAGCUGCUUCAGUGCUGUGCCCCUGAGAGGCCCCCCUCACGGGCCCGCUGCCCGCACUGGCAGGAAGUGUGCCUGCACUGGCAGGAGUGUGCCCGCUGCUCGCACUGGCAGGAAGUGUGCCCGCUGCCCGCACUGGCAGGAGUGUGUCCGCUGCCCACACUGGCAGGAGUGUGCCUGCUGUCCGCACUGGCAGGAGUUGUGCCCGCUGCCCGCACUGGCAGGAGUGUGCCCUCUGCCCGCACUGGCAGGAAGUGUGCCCACUGCCCGCACUUGCAGGAGUGUGCCCGCUGCCCGCACUGGCAGGAAGUGUGCCCGCUGCCCGCACUGGCAGGAGUUGUGCCUGCUGUCCGCACUGGCAGGAGU